rnacentral:rRNA from 1 species
AUUGAACGCUGGCGGCAGGCUUAACACAUGCAAGUCGAACGAGUGGCGGACGGGUGAGUAAUGCUUGGGAAUCUGGCUUAUGGAGGGGGAUAACGACGGGAAACUGUCGCUAAUACCGCGUACCAUAGGAUGAGCCCAAGGUGGAUUAGGUAGUUGGUGGGGUAAUGGCCUACCAAGCCGACGAUCGCUAGCUGGUCUGAGAGGAUGACCAGCCACACCGGGACUGAGACACGGCCCGGACUCCUACGGGAGGCAGCAGUGGGGAAUAUUGCGCAAUGGGGGCAACCCUGACGCAGCCAUGCCGCGUGAAUGAAGAAGGCCUUCGGGUUGUAAAGUUCUUUCGGUGACGAGGCGUUACCCGCAGAAGAAGCACCGGCUAACUCCGUGCCAGCAGCCGCGGUAAUAC